rnacentral:rRNA from 1 species
AACGAACGCUGGCGGCAUGCCUAACACAUGCAAGUCGAACGAGACCUUCGGGUCUAGUGGCGCACGGGUGCGUAACGCGUGGGAACCUGCCCUUAGGUUCGGAAUAACUCCCCGAAAGGGGUGCUAAUACCGGAUAAUGUCUUCGGACCAAAGAUUUAUCGCCUUUGGAUGGGCCCGCGUUGGAUUAGCUAGUUGGUAGGGUAAAAGCCUACCAAGGCGACGAUCCAUAGCUGGUCUGAGAGGAUGAUCAGCCACACUGGGACUGAGACACGGCCCAGACUCCUACGGGAGGCAGCAGUGGGGAAUAUUGGACAAUGGGCGAAAGCCUGAUCCAGCAAUGCCGCGUGAGUGAUGAAGGCCUUAGGGUUGUAAAGCUCUUUUACCCGGGAUGAUAAAGACAGUACCGGGAGAGUAAGCUCCGGCUAACUCCGUG